rnacentral:rRNA from 1 species
AACGAACGCUGGCGGCGUGCUUAACACAUGCAAGUCGAACGCGAAAGGGACUUCGGUCCCGAGUAGAGUGGCGCACGGGUGAGUAACGCGUAAGUAAUCUACCCCUGUAUUCGGAAUAACCCACCGAAAGGUGAGCUAAUACCGGAUACGUUUAUCUUGAUGCGAAUGAUGAUAAAGAAAGGUGGCCUCUUCAUGAAAGCUACUGUACAGGGACGAGCUUGCGUACCAUUAGCUAGUUGGUAGGGUAAUGGCCUACCAAGGCGACGAUGGUUAGCGGGUCUGAGAGGAUGAUCCGCCACACUGGAACUGGAACACGGACCAGACUCCUACGGGAGGCAGCAGUGAGGAAUAUUGCGCAAUGGGGGCAACCCUGACGCAGCGACGCCGCGUGGAUGAUGAAGGCCCUUGGGUCGUAAAAUCCUGUCAGAUGGAAAGAAAUGUAUAGCAGCUAAUAUCUGUUAUAUUUGACGGUACCAUCAAAGGAAGCACCGGCUAACUCCGUGCCAGCCGCCGCGGUAAAAC